UACAGAGGGUGCAAGCGUUGUUCGGAAUUAUUGGGCGUAAAGGGGGUGUAGGCGGUUUGAUAAGUCUUCUGUGAAAUCUACGGGCUUAGCCUGUAACGUGCAGAGGAAACUAUCAGGCUUGAGUGUCGGAGAGGAUAGGGGAAUUCCCGGUGUAGAGGUGAAAUUCGUAGAGAUCGGGAGGAACACCAGUGGCGAAGGCGCCUAUCUGGCUGACAACUGACGCUGAGACUCGAAAGCAUGGGGAGCAAACAGG
rnacentral:rRNA from 1 species